rnacentral:rRNA from 1 species
UGGGGAAUAUGCACAAUGGGCGCAAGCCUGAUGCAGCCAUGCCGCGUGUGUGAAGAAGGCCUUCGGGUUGUAAAGCGCUUUCAGCGAGGAGGAAGGUGGUGAAGCUUAAUACGCUCAUCAAUUGACGUUACUCGCAGAAGAAGCACCGGCUAACUCCGUGCCAGCAGCCGCGGUAAUACGGAGGGUGCAAGCGUUAAUCGGAAUUACUGGGCGUAAAGCGCACGCAGGCGGUUUGUUAAGUCAGAUGUGAAAUCCCCGGGCUCAACCUGGGAACUGCAUUUGAAAACUGGCAAGCUAGAGUCUCGUAGAGGGGGGUAGAAUUCCAGGUGUAGCGGUGAAAUGCGUAGAGAUCUGGAGGAAUACCGGUGGCGAAGGCGGCCCCCUGGACGAAGACUGACGCUCAGGUGCGAAAGCGUGGGAGCAAACAGGAUUAGAUACCCUGGUAGUCCACGCUGUAAACGAUGUCGAUUUUGGAGGUUGUGCCCUUGAGGCGUGGCUUCCGGAGCUAACGCGUUAAAUCGACCGCCU